AAAAAAAAAAAAAAAAGCUAUUUAUUGUCUCUACAUUGUCUACAUUGUCUUUCAUAUCACAAAUUCCAGGAACAGGAAGAUAAUGGGUUGAGCUAGUCAGGAACAAAAUGCCUUUAAACAGUCACCCCAGGGCAUGAGUACAAGGCGUGUGACUGAAGUCCAUAUUCCUGUCUCUCUGGGCCUGAUAAAUUCUGCACAUCUCACAUAACUCAAAGUGCUGUGAACACUUUUUCUUUUCUUAUUUCUUUAGUGAGAGGGAGUGGGUUUAUGGCCAACAGGAAAUGGGAAGGCACACCCCUGUCCCGGGAAGAGCAGAGUGGGGACCCAAUACCCAUUUUGGAGGAGUUUGGAACAGUCACCUGAUUCUUCCUUUUUAUUUAUUUAUUUUUUUGACACUGGUUCUCACUAUGCUAACCAGGCUGGACUCAAAUUCCUAGGCUCAAGUGAUCCCCAAGCCUCAGCCUUCCUUGUAGGCUGGGACUACAGGUGUGUGAUUCUUCCCAGUUUGAUUCUUCCAUCCGUAAAGAUCAUCUUAGUGUGUAUUCAGUUCUGGGAAAAGCUCUGGAGGAGACGUGCUGGCUUAUCCCCAGCUCAUCACCAGGAUGCAGCAUCCCAUCAUGGCAUCUCCCUGGAGGGUGGCCAAGCAGGCCCUUAACUUUCCCUCCUGAGAGGAGAGCAGAGAAGAGAGAGGGAGCUCCCCCGGUGGGAUGGGACUCACGAGGUCCAGGAGUUGAGACUUUUCUGUGGCCUUUGGGGACCUCUGAACAGUGCAAUCAGGUCUUCCCUUAGAAAGAUGCUUUGGCAACAGGCGGAGGGGCAGGGACGGAGUUCUGCGGACAGCCAGGAAAAUCAGAGGAGGCCACUGGCCCCCUGCCUCUUCUCCCCAGGAGGGUGAAUCCUUCUGUAUUAGCCCUAGGCACCCUAAAAAAAUACCACUGCCUGAGUGGCUUAAACAACAGGGUUUUAUUUUCUCACAGUUCUAGAGACUAAAAGCCCCAGGGGCCUCUCUUCCUGGUUUGCACACAGCCAUCUUCUCACCAUGUCCUCCCAUGGGGAGGGAGCACCCAAGCUCUCUGGUCUCUUAUAAGGACACGAAUCCUGUUGGAUCAGGGCCCACCUUUAUGACCUCACUUAACCUUCAUCAUCUCCUUAUAGGCCCUGUCCCCAAAUACAGUCACAUUGGUGAUUAGAGCUUCAGCGUCUAAUAUUGGCGGAGGGGGACACCAUUCAGUCCAUAGCUCCCCCUUCCUCAGGGCUCCAACCACGUCAUGCACAGAACUCAGCUGCAGCCCACAUCACACGGUGCUCUUCAGUCCAGCCAUGCAUCCUUCAGCAGCUGGGAUACGUUCUCGACAAUGCAUCAUCAGGCUUGAGUGACAACUUGAGGACAAGGCGGCGCCUCGACAAGAUUUCACACAGCAGCUACGGGGGCCAGAGAAGCAGCACCGCAUGGUGUGGCAGAAGGAGGACCUGCACAAGCAAUUGGUUGAAGCGUCAGAGACAUUGAAAUCCCAAGCCAAAGAACUGAGAGAUGCCCAUCAGCAGCAAAAGCUGGCCCUGCAGGAGUUCUUGGAGCUCAGUGAGCUCAUGGCAGAGCUCUACUCCCAGAAGCAGAAGGUGUGGGACAAGGAGGAGGAGAUGGAAGUAGCCAUGCAGAAAGUUGACACGAUGUGGCAGGAGAUCUGAAGAUCCAAGAAGCCCAGAAAGAGGAUGCUGUUUAGCCAGGCGUGGUGGCUCACGCCUAUAAUCCCAGCACUUUUGGAGGUCGAGGCAGGUGAAUGGCCUGAGGUCAGGAGUUUGAGACCAGCCUGGCCAACAUGGUGAAACUCCAUCUCUAUUAAAAAUGCAAAAAUUAACCAGGCGUGGUGGUGGGCGCCUGUAAUCCUAGCUACUAGGGAGGCUGAGGCAGGAGAAUUGCUUGAACCUGGGAGGCAGAGGUUGCACUGAGCCAAGAUCAUGCCACUGCACUCCAGCCUGGGCAACAAGAGCAAAACUCUGUCUCCAAAAAAAAAAAAAAAAUGGAGGAAGCUGUUUAGAUAUUUCAGCGAUGGUAUCGAUUGGACUUUUGUAUGACCUUAAUAAAACAUCUUUGAAAACUU